rnacentral:rRNA from 1 species
ACUCUGCGGGAGGCAGCAGUGGGGAAUAUUGGACAAUGGGCGCAAGCCUGAUCCAGCCAUGCCGCGUGAGUGAUGAAGGCCCUAGGGUUGUAAAGCUCUUUCACCGGUGAAGAUAAUGACGGUAACCGGAGAAGAAGCCCCGGCUAACUUCGUGCCAGCAGCCGCGGUAAUACGAAGGGGGCUAGCGUUGUUCGGAUUUACUGGGCGUAAAGCGCACGUAGGCGGACUAUUAAGUCAGGGGUGAAAUCCCGGGGCUCAACCCCGGAACUGCCUUUGAUACUGGUAGUCUUGAGUUCGAGAGAGGUGAGUGGAAUUCCGAGUGUAGAGGUGAAAUUCGUAGAUAUUCGGAGGAACACCAGUGGCGAAGGCGGCUCACUGGCUCGAUACUGACGCUGAGGUGCGAAAGCGUGGGGAGCAAACAGGAUUAGAUACCCGGGUAGUCCCAUGAU